CAGUAGCCACGGUAAUACGUAGGUGGCAAGCGUUGUCCGGAAUUAUUGGGCGUAAAGGGCUCGCAGGCGGUUUCUUAAGUCUGAUGUGAAAGCCCCCGGCUCAACCGGGGAGGGUCAUUGGAAACUGGGAAACUUGAGUGCAGAAGAGGAGAGUGGAAUUCCACGUGUAGCGGUAAAAUGCGUAGAGAUGUGGAGGAACACCAGUGGCGAAGGCGACUCUCUGGUCUGUAACUGACGCUGAGGAGCGAAAGCGUGGGGAGCGAACAGGAUUAGAUACCCGCGUAGUCCCUGUCUCUUAUAC
rnacentral:rRNA from 1 species